CAGGCCUUCAUGGACUUCCAGAUGCAGCGCAUGACCUCUGCCUUCAUUGACCACUUUGGCUUCAAUGAUGAGGAGUUCGGGGAGCAGGAGGAGAGUGUGAACGCACCUUUUGACAAGACAGCCAACAUCACCUUCUCCCUCAAUGCUGACGAUGAGAACCCCAACGCCAACCUACUUGAGAUAUGCUACAAGGACCGCAUCCAGCAGUUUGAUGAUGAUGAGGAAGAGGAGGACGAGGAAGAGGCCCAGGGCUCAGGGGAGUCUGAUGGAGAAGAUGGCGCCUGGCAGGGCAGCCAGCUGGCCAGGGGGGCCCGUCUGGGCCAGCCCCCUGGUGUCCGGUGAGUCCCCCUCCAGUUUCCCUUCUCCAAGCUUCCACCACACGGCAGGGCCAAGUGGUCUCCCAACACAUUUGGACUGAGGCUGAAGUGAAUGAAAAAAAUAAGGAACCUGCAUUGGUGUGUAUAUUAGUUGGGGGCACUUUCACUUUUGAGUGAUAGAAAUCUAAUUCAAGGCCAAGCAUGGUGGGCUCAUGUAAUCCCUGAGUGCCUGUAAUCCCAGUACUUUGGGAGGCCAGGGCAGAUGGAUUGCUUGAGUUCAGGAGUUUGAGACCAGCCCUGGGUAACAUAGGGAGAAUCUGUCUCUACAAAAAAUACAAAAGUUAGAUGGG
rnacentral:sRNA from 1 species